rnacentral:rRNA from 1 species
CGCACAGUAAACGAUGUGCACCAGGCGGCGGGGGCAACCUCGCUGCCGCAGUCAACGCAUUAAGUGCACCGCCUGGGGAGUAUGCCCGCAAGGGUGAAACUCAAAGGAAUUGACGGGGGC